ACACGGUGGAUAACUCCAUGCUGGAAGGUUACUGAAGCUUAUACGCACCAGUCUGCCUGCCAGCCUUAUAGAAUGCCUGUCUCUGGCGUCCUAAAGGGAGAGUAGCUGCAGAAGGUCUCAGCUGUCUGGACUUGCACCCAAGGAUCAAGGCCUCCUUGUUCUGUAGCCUUUAGUAGAACCCAGUAUACAAACAGAGAGGCAAACCCAGGAGCUGUUUAUCUCAAGUCUGGAAUUAAUGUACGUCACAGAGCCACAGAUGACACGUCCCGUCUUAAGUUCUGCUGUCUCAUCUGAAGGGGUCGUCAGUCCUGGCCAUUAGUCUUCUUUGUUAAGCCCAGCUCAAGGAGGGGAUUUUCGACCCAUCUUCCAUUAUACUGGGGAUAUGUUAUGGUCUGUCCAGAAUGUUGGAGGCAGUGCAGUCUGAGUGAAUUAAUACGCUCUGCCAAUCCUGCCUGUCAGGAUGAGGGAGGUGGUUGGGACUAAUGUGUGACCCCUGCAAAGGCAGAAACCAGAGCACGCUGGCCAGUCGGUAAACACAGGAUUCAACAGUCAGUUCCAAAGUCACUCGGAGUCAGUGAAAUCAACCUUGAGAAUAAAUCGUUUUAAAUGAGUUGUCAGAUGUACAGAAUGCA